UAAUACGUAGGUGGCAAGCGUUGUCCGGAAUUAUUGGGCGUAAAGCGCGCGCAGGCGGCUUCUUAAGUCUGAUGUGAAAGCCCACGGCUCAACCGUGGAGGGUCAUUGGAAACUGGGAGGCUUGAGUGCAGAAGAGGAGAGCGGAAUUCCACGUGUAGCGGUGAAAUGCGUAGAGAUGUGGAGGAACACCAGUGGCGAAGGCGGCUCUCUGGUCUGUAACUGACGCUGAGGCGCGAAAGCGUGGGUAGCGAACAGGAUUAGAUACCCUGGUAGUCCACGCCGUAAACGAUGAGUGCUAAGUGUUAGAGGGUUUCCGCCCUUUAGUGCUGCAGCAAACGCAUUAAGCACUCCGCCUGGGGAGUACGGCCGCAAGGCUGAA
rnacentral:rRNA from 1 species